GUCGGCGUGGUGUAAUGGUUUGAGCGUUGGACCAGGACUCUAGAGACCAGGGUUCGAAUCUCAACUCAGCCA